CAGAGCAGAAACAACAUCCCGAGAGGAGUCAUGUGGUGCAGCAAAAGUCAGAUUUUUGUCGGUUUCGCUGCGGCUUUUUGUCUGAUGGGGUUCAUUUACAUUUACACUGGAAGAGACUGGUCCAACUGGUUGCUGAGGGAGCAGGUGCUCUGCUCUGCGGUGGACUCCAAAACACCAGAACUUUACAACCGCUGCAAAGUAGAAGAGCUUCUGAUGAGU